rnacentral:rRNA from 1 species
GACGAACGCUGGCGGCGUGCUUAACACAUGCAAGUCGAACGGAAAGGCCCUGCUUUUGUGGGGUGCUCGAGUGGAGAACGGGUGAGUAACACGUGAGUAACCUGCCCUUGACUUUGGGAUAACUUCAGGAAACUGGGGCUAAUACCGGAUAGGAGCUCCUGCUGCAUGGUGGGGGUUGGAAAGUUUCGGCGGUUGGGGAUGGACUCGCGGCUUAUCAGCUUGUUGGUGGGGUAGUGGCUUACCAAGGCUUUGACGGGUAGCCGGCCUGAGAGGGUGACCGGCCACAUUGGGACUGCGAUACGGCCCAGACUCCUACGGGAGGCAGCAGUGGGGAAUAUUGCACAAUGGGCGGAAGCCUGAUGCAGCAACGCCGCGUGCGGGAUGACGGCCUUCGGGUUGUAAACCGCUUUCGCCUGUGACGAAGCGUGAGUGACGGUAAUGGGUAAAGAAGCACCGGCUAACUACGUG